rnacentral:rRNA from 1 species
CACGUAGGGGGCAAGCGUUGUCCGGAUUUAUUGGGCGUAAAGAGCUCGUAGGUGGUUCGAUAAGUCGGGUGUGAAACCUCCAGGCUCAACCUGGAGACGCCACCCGAUACUGUCGUGACUAGAGUCCAGUAGGGGAGCGUGGAAUUCCUGGUGUAGCGGUGAAAUGCGCAGAUAUCAGGAGGAACACCAGUGGCGAAGGCGGCGCUCUGGGCUGGCACUGACACUGAGGAGCGAAAGCGUGGGGAGCGAACAGG